rnacentral:lncRNA from 1 species
ACACACCAUGUUUUUGGCGGGUUUCGGUAUUUUCGAAGAAAAAUGAUGAAAAUGCCCUUGUGAGCCAAAAAAUAAUAUUUUAUUGUUUUGAUUUGGAAACGACUAUUGAUUUUUUCAAAUGCGAGAUUUGAUAACUAUUGCUCACCGGGGAAUUGCGAAAGCUGAUACGAGAGCCUUGCGAGGUUUCGAUCGGUAUUCGGAGUGAAGAAUGUUUGUCGAGGCUUCGCAACGGUUGUCAAGGGCUUGAUGAGAGUCCUGGGUCGUGACACUUAUGAUUUCCUGAAAAGUUUGUCUCGUGCCAAAAUCAUUCUCAUACUCAGUUAUCAGGGAUACCUUGAUCGAGGGCUAUUCCAACUAAGUUCGCCAAGGCUGUUAAAAAGUCAUGUAUGCAUAAAUCAUGUUUUUAUUUUGAAAACAUAGCCAUUCUUUGGCGUUGGCUAAGUUCACCCUCACGUGGUGGUUUGGCAUGAAGUGAAUUCUAAAGUGUUAACCUCAGGAGUUAUCAAUCUGCGCCUCUCAAACUGCGAUAUGAAUAUAAAAGGGUUACCGUACCCCUUCUAAUAAGCUGGUCCACAGAACCCGUCCACUGCAGCAACUAAUCAAUAACCCACCAAUUCAAUAAAAUUUAACAGCAUGACAUGGUAAUUUUAUCAUUAUCCAGCCUAUCAAGGCAAACAACAGUUUAUACAUUUUCAACACAAAUACCAAUUCAGCCAUUCAUGCUAAUAUUGCCAUAAGCCAAUCAAUUAGAACCAUAAAUUCACAAUACAUCUAAUGGUCUCCAAUUACUCUAUUUUCAAAGCCAUCAUUCAAUUUCAACACAAUUUAUAAAAUCAUUUCAUUAAAUCACAUUUUAAUUACAAAACACAAAGAUUUACCAUUUAACUCAUUUUCCAUAAAAUCACAAAAUCAAACAAAAACCACUUUAGAUAAUUAAGAUGAUAGUAAGGUUACUCACUAUUUCAGGAGUCGAAUUCUAAGUACUCCGAUUCUUGAUCCUCGGGUACUAUCUCUUUACUUUGGCCAGAAUGCUCACCACCUAGACAUAAUGCACAAUAAGCCAUUUACUACAUUUGUGCUAAAUUGUUAUAAAACCAAUUCAGGCUUUAUACUAAUGCAUGAAACGGGAUGUAAAUUGUUCGGAUUAUCGUCUAAACACGGUGUUCUACACAAAUUCAAUUGUGUACCUAAAUAAAAUGGUAUUGGCCUAAUUCGAUCUAUCACCCGAAUAAUUGGCCAAUACGUCCAAUUCAACUCCAAAUAAUUCCAUUUCUCUCCCAAUACUCCAAAUCAUCAAACACAAUUUUGAAAUAUGGCAAAAUCAUCCUCACAUUUUCUCUUGGAAAAUUCGACCAUGGUGGGUGUAUCAACACUAUAAUUUUUCAAGCCUGAUUCUCAGACCAUAAAUCACUAAUUCCUAACUAAAUCACUUGAAAUAAAAUCAAAAUCAUCAUCAAUACUCUGCAAGGAAGAUUCUGCCAAUGGAGGUUCUUGAGGGGUAAACGGUUUUUUAUGCUAAACAUUACCAUUUUCGGUUUCCACCGUUACAAUUCAUUAAAUUUUAACUAAAUAACAUAAGACAUCACAAGAUUCAUUUUCAAUAUUAUCUUUAUGAAAUUCAGCCAAUGAAGAAUCCAUGAAGAACAUGUGAUUUUUCUUACUUGUUUUUCUUCCAAACAUGAUAAAUCAACUAUAAACACUAAAAUAUCUCAAAAUCUAACCAAAUAAAUCAUCAAAUCUUCUCUCUUUAAAUUCGGUUAGCCGUGAAUCCUUCAUGAUAUGUUGUGAUUCAACCAUGGAAAAUGCAAAAGAAUGCAUGGGAAAGGUAGAUCACAAGUCAAAAUCAAGAAAUUUUACCUUUGCUUGCUUGAUUACUUGAAAUCCACCAAUUUUCUCUUGAAUUUUCACCUUAGGGUUCUUGUUCUUUCUUUUCUUCCUUUGUUCUUGCUUUGGCCGACCAUAUGAAGAGAAAUGGGCUGAUUUUGUGCUGAUUUUU